CGCGCAGGCGGGCCGGCAAGUUGGAAGUGAAAUCCGGGGGCUUAACCCCCGAACUGCUUUCAAACUGCUGGUCUUGAGUGAUGGAGAGGCAGGCGGAAUUCCGUGUGUAGCGGUGAAAUGCUUAGAUAUACGGAGGAACACCAGUGGCGAAGGCGGCCUGCUGGACAUUAACUGACGCUGAGGCGCGAAAGCGUGGGGAGCAAACA
rnacentral:rRNA from 1 species